AGUCCUUAACUGCCAGUGCUGUGACAAACUGUCUUUUCCAAGGUCAUUUUUUUCCUGCAUUCAAUAUCAAUGAUUAUGUGAGAUAGGCUAUACUCGAGAUCAAAAUCCCGAGAAACUGAAAACACUGUUUGUUUGGUUGGUGUUGAUGUAUUUUGACUGGCAGUCUCUCAUUCAUAAGACACUGAGGUGAUGUUGCUGUGUGCAUGAGAGUUCCUCCUUGUAUAUGCCAGUGAGCCUCUCGCUGAGCUGCUCAUGUGAAGCGUCAUAGACAGCCUUGUCCCCUACUGCAGUCUCCCCUGACAUAUAGAUUGGGUUCCAUUUAAAAGCCCUGUUCUCUCACCGUUAUUUACUCCAAUAGUAAAUCUUUACAAUGUUGUAAAGACUCUUUUACACACUCGGGUUAUACAAUCUUCCUACUGCAGCAGCCAGACAGGCAUGUGUCAGGAAACAGAAGGAGAGGAGACCUAAAACUAUUUAUUGGUUUUAAAUUUGCAAUGGAGAGUCACAUACAACAAAAAGGUGAAUAUAGGUGAAAAACACAUUGAACAUUCAAUUUCCUCAGUCGUACAAUUAAAAUGAAUGUAAAAGUAUUGAAAUAUAAGCCAACGUUUUGGCUCCGUUUCCAUUCAAACCGUAAUAUGGUUUGCUGAUGCAAAUGUACUGUAAAUCUGCCCUGCUAGCAAAAAUUAAUGUCAAACCAAGUUUUAUUCAGAUCUGAUCUAGACUAUUUAGGUAGCAAAUGCUUAAGAGUACUUUUGGAUGAGAACAACCUAAUGAAGCCCUUUUUUAUCAAGUUUCAACAAACAGAUGACAACAUUGUCAAAACUAUCCCUUCAAGCUGCCAAAAUGAAUGAAAAUAUAGCCAUUUGAAGUUGACGUUGGCUCGCCAACUGCUGGUAAUCCAGGUUUAUCUAAAAUAAUACGUUUAACAGUGAAAAUUUGAGUUAUGGGAGUAAAUUCACUGGAGACGCUUUAUCAAGCUCAUUAUGUUAAGCAACAUACAGGGGUUCCUCCAUUAUUGUUUUGGAUGUUACGUACAGACGUUUUACAUGUGCACGCCCUCUGUUUCCACAGACUAAUGUAUUUCACUUUAUAAAAUGGAACUAAUGCAAUUGUUAAAAACAUUUUGUGUUUAAAUUGAGACCCGCUUUAAAAAAUAUUAUUUCGAUUUUUGGUCCCAUAAAUGUCCAUCCGAUAAACAAACUGCCAAAAUGACAGUUUUGUUUUUGUUGUCAAACGGCCCUAAGCCCGAGUUUUGCCUGCAUGGUGUUUGCCAAACAUUGAAGAUGAGGCUCCAGCUCACCCGCGACACUAGUGAGGAUAAGCGGCAUAGAAAAUGGAUGGACGGAUGGAUCCACAAGUGCUGACCCACGGAUCCUCCGAGGUCACUCGGCAUCAGUGUAAAUCAUUCAGCUUAGACAUACUCAAGGUCUUUACUUCAUUAGAGGACAUAUGCUCCACGUGCUCCCAUUGCCUCGGCUCAUUGCUGACCUCGGCUUUGCGGCCCUGCCCGGGCGCGGUGUUGCUACAGCGCACAUCACCAAGUCACACCGCGGGGUAAUAAUUACCUCAUUUAGGAGCAGGGAGGCGGACCGUGCUUUGGCAUUUAUUGGUGUAGACGCCAGAUGACUUGAAAAAGAUGCAAGGCUUAGAAUUUAUCUGUCUCCCUGGACCUGCUGGGUUUCUGUUGCGAGCAAGGUAGACCGUGAGAGAGGAUGAGAGCGUGUGUGUCUGUCUUUCGGUUGAUGUUUAAUACCGGUUGGCUGUUGACUUUGGUGUACUUAUUCUUUGAUGUCAGUAACAUGAUCAUCAAGGAUUUUUUAUUUCCCCCCCCCCUAACCCUACAGUUUGUUUUGCACUAUAGCAGCUACACGUUCCCUCUCAUGAAAUCAGCCACACUGGCUUUCCGAAAAUCCUAUGCUACUGAAUUUAUAAGGGAUACCCAACUGAAAAUGUACACUCAAAAGAAAGAUAAUUUGGAAUAAACAAUAAAUAAUUAAUCAGAGUGGUUAAAUAAGUAAUAGUGUGAUAUCUAUUUCUUUGGUUUCGCUAUUGCCACGCUUUAUUUAUUAAUGGCCAUAACAGACACAGUGUCUCGCCAGGAAGAGCAAAGUCUAAAAAAAUAAUAAUAAUAAAAUAAACUCCUGAGAGGUUCUCUUGAAGAGAAUCCUUUCGGGGAAGAGAAAAUUCAGCGUCAUCUAUCUCGUGUGCUGUUUUGUCUGUGAGGUGGAGGGACACAGAGUUCAGUCUAGCCUUUUUAUUUGGAUGGGUGCUGGGGCAGAGGGUCAAGGAGUGACAUGAAGCAGCUGCGGAAUCCUGAUCAUAAAGACUCCCCCACCUCAAUUUAACUUCACAUGCGCAGAAGCAUAUUAUUCCCAUCUUCAGGUCUCCUGUAAUGGUCAUCUGAACGCUCUCCUUGAUGUCAUCCGCCGGAGGAUAUGCAGCUUUCGCCUGAGAGAUAGACUGUCUUACCACAAAUUAAGCGAAGGCGUCUGUGAAAUAUCCCAAACUUAACUCCUCACUCAAGAGGAGGAGGCUCAAAGCAGCAAAGACGCCGAGUCUGAAGCAGAGUCUAAAGCAAUUCAGCACGAAGAUGCUAACAACAACAUGGCUCCUCUGUGAAUAGUAUCGGUCAGCGCACACAUGUACUUGGUGGGUGUGUAGUGGGUGUGCUCAUAAAUUGGAGCUGCAUACAAUAACAGGUAAAAAAAAAAAAAAAAAAAUCAAUGGCUUCAAGUUUGGCAUCACAAAUAUUGCAUUGUUUUCUGAUUUAUAAUGCAUGGGCUGGUACAUUGAUUUUACAUCAGUAUUUACUGUACAUUUAACAACUGGAUGAGUUUCUAACCACAUUACUUAUUUUUUUUCCAGAACUAUGUUAAAGGCUAGAUGAGCCCCUGACCCCGUGGGCUGAAGAAUCAUUAUGGACUCAUAAAGGUCCCUGAGCCAAGCCUCCACUCAAUAAGGC